GGGGUUGUAGUGUAGUGGCUAUCACGUGUCAUUUGCAAUCGCUCCUGAUUGAAUCUUGACAAGGUCCCGGGUUCAAUCCCCGGCGACUCCA
rnacentral:tRNA from 1 species